rnacentral:rRNA from 1 species
GUGACAGCCGCCGCGGUAAUACGUAGGGAGCAAGCGUUGUCCGGAAUCACUGGGCGUAAAGCGCGCGUAGGCGGCCUCGUAAGUCCGUUGUGAAAGUCAAAGGCUCAACCUUUGAAAGCCGAUGGAUACUGUGAGGCUAGAGUCCGGAAGAGGCGAGUGGAAUUCCUGGUGUAGCGGUGGAAUGCGCAGAUAUCAGGAGGAACACCAAUAGCGAAGGCAGCUCGCUGGGACGGUACUGACGCUAAGGCGCGAAAGCGUGGGGAGCGAACAGGAUUAGAAACCCGUGUAGUCC